AUUUGCCCGUCGAGUGAUUUUUUUUACAUAUACCUCACGUUUUGUCAGAUUUGAAGAUCGAGCUGUUCUCCACCCCUUCCCUCCCGAUAUCUCCCCCCGCCCCCCCAAUGAAACUGUACAUGGCCUGUACAAGAGUGGAACAACCAUCGAACAACCCCUACAAAACUCGUGUCCUAAAGCCCAAAACGUCAAUGUCAGGAACUCAAAGGUUAUUUUUGGAGCAACACAAGUAAUAUAAUACAACCACAAAAAUUCUGACGACUGAGGAGUACUAUCCAUUUGAGAGUGGAGAAAACAGGACUUAGCAAGAAAGAUGCAUUUUGGCCAUCUAGACAUUGAGUGUGCACAAUCAUUGUUGAUUUUUCAGGAUUCUUUGCUGAAUACUUGUGGAGCUGUCUUCAACAGGGAUGCUAGCAUUUCUUAAAUGGCCCUCUCAUUGAACGUGCAGUAGAGGCUGGUGGAAUUUCUCUAGCGUUUGUACGUAUUGCCUUACUGCACUACAGGACUGCGGCGGCAACAACAACUAUUAAUGUACCAUAGGACUUUUGUGGACUUGAGGAGAUCUCCCUUGCCAGAAAUUGGCUGCUGCAGUUUGUAGAAGGUUGAGCUGACACAGCCAAUCUGGUUAAUAAAAUGUGAGGCUGGAUGAACACAG